rnacentral:lncRNA from 1 species
GGGAUGCGCUGGACCAGGCUCAGCAGGUGGAGAAGCUGAUGGAGGCCAUGAGGAGCUGCCCUGACAAGGCCCAGGACAAGCACUGAUCCUGAGGGGAUACUGUGGAGCAGCCCAGUCCACACCAGAGCCCCACGCGGCUGCCCGGCAGUACCUCCUCCAGGCAGGAGCCGGGACUGUCACUUUGGAGACAAAACAGUGUUUGUAACAAUAACGUACUCACCGCCGCGGACAAUCCCCCACCCCGAUCCCUCGCCAGACCAGGACGCUUCCUCAAGCCCAGCCUUCUACAGAGAGUGUGAACGGUACAGCCCCGGCCUGACCCGGGGACCUUCAGCCUGGACACCCGGCAGCUUCUGGAGUUUGUCAGUGGAGGCAGAGGGGAUCCGGCCAGGCCCCUCUGUCCAGAAGGAGCUGCCCUGAGGACCAUCUUAGCGGCCCUGUCCUCUUUUUCCGCCCAUUCUCCCUCGGGUCUCCCCAGAGGGGCCGGCGGGGGCUGGGGAGGGGGUAAGUUUAUCCAUGCAGACACCAAGGGGGAGCAUCCAGUCUUUAAGAGCCAAGUGGGGG